rnacentral:sRNA from 1 species
CCAUAUUCCCCGCGGGGGAGGAUGAGAAGCUUCGACCUCGAAGGUUUGACCCGUAGGGUGAGUCGCAAAGCGACGAAAAAUCCUUCCUGCUCUGCAA